GAUAAUGUACAUGUAUACAAGCAAACCACAACAACAACCAAACAAGAAAAGUCUGUGCUCGGAUUACAAACUAUGCAGUAAAUGACAUGGAGUACCACCCAAUCAAAGAGGGGCCCCCUACCAAGUAUUGGUAAUAGUAAAAUACAAGUAGGUAUUUUAAUUCCUGGGGUACAGUUAUCUCGAGUAUGUAAGUGGAUACCAGAAUUCACUAUAGUGACUCUCACUAUAGUAUUUUCCGAAGCUGUUAGCAAUGGAAGUUUGCAAACUAAAGCCAUCAAAUCAUUCUGUAAUCCGUACUAUUAGCCCUUAAUUCAAACCACAAAUAUCUUCAAAGGCCUUUACAUUCUUGAAAACUCUUAGCCAUGUUCCCAUCGAUUGUAUAUCCUGUACCUUGUUUAGGUUCACCCACUUUGUUUGAUUCCAAGCUCUUCCUUGAAGCAAUCAUUGAUCACUUGCUUUUUCGUGUGGAUCACUUUUUUGUGUUCAUUCAAAGAUCUACGCCAUUUCUUUAGUUUAUUUAGUUUAUUUUAGUUUAUUUCUCAGUUUAGUUAGCAAUGUCAAGCAGUCUUGAAGCACCUGAUCAUUUUAUAAAGAAGAAAUACGCUAUACAUGUAGGUCUUUUGAUCAGAGCAAGACAUUCUACCAGAUUGUUAAACUGUAUUUGAGUCGCAUGGCAGAUAUUUCUGUACAUCUCGUGGAAGAUUUUGUUUUGGUGAGCACGUUGAAUAGCCUUUCUGGUCCACUAUGCUGAGAUGGAGUUUGCAUUUGACCAUCACAUCUGUGAUUGUAUUCAAGUCUGCUUCUUUAGUAAUCCAUGGAUCCAUGGAUUUUUGGCAGAGUGUUUCUUUUGAUUAGAUAAUUUUGACACCAUCGGUGCAUGCUUAUCACAUUUACUUUACUGAACAACUUUAAAAACAUGACAUAUGCUUUGUUCACAUCUUUUUGUCUAGAGAUGAUAUCCCAUAUAACUUCUGCUAGAUAUCUCUGAAACUUGUCUUGAUCAUAAUUCUUAUAACUGCGGAAAGUCAUUCCCUCAUUUCCCAUUUGUUUACCUUUAAAGUUGCAAUGUUCAAAAACUACAAAUAUAGGAAAAUGAUUUGACAAAUCUGUUUCUUUUACACCUGCAUGAGUUUUAAAAGUACUAACAAUUGUGUAUAUAUGAUCAAUCAAGGAAGAAGUUAGUUUUGUAACUCUAGUGGGAGUUGUAAUAAGUUGUUUUAAACCAAAACAUUGCAAAGUCGUUUUGAAUUUUUGGUAUUUUGAUGAUCAUUUAAAAAGUCAAUAUUUAAAUCACCAGUCAUAAUGCACUUUACCUUAUCAAGCUUUAAAGUUGACAGAACAUCAAGCAAGCUAUUUUCAAAUUCAAUGAUAUCAUUGUUUGGUCUACAAUAUAUUAUGCCCACAAUGAAUCUUUUUGUCUUGAUGCUUAUUUCAAGCCAAAGACUCUCUGAACUUGCCACAUCAAAAUUAAGAACAACAUAUCUUAAAGAUGAAUUGAUGUAAGCUCCCAUUCCUCCUCCCCUCAUAUUACCUGUUCUACACUUAACCUCAAGAUUGUAUCCAGCUAUAAAGCCAAGUAGCUCUUUGUUACAUUCCAAACCUCUGAUAGAGCAAUGAUAUCAAACUUCGAAUCCAAAUUAUCAUAAAGUAAGGAUAAUCCAUCAAAAUUUGUCUGCAGUGAUCUAAUGUUAACAUGACUCAUACUAAAUGAAUUUGCAAUAUGUCUUCCUAGGAUAUUAUCAAUUAAAUCUGGGCUUAAUGCGUAAGAAGAAACUUCAAAAUUUGAGUCUUCAGAUUCCUUAAGUAGUUUGAAGUGUCCCUAGCGACAACUGCAUAUUUAAUUUACAAUAUGGAGCUUAAAAUCUCUGUAGCCGAUUUCGUCUAGUCCAACUUCAAUGAGAUCAUCCGGGGUUCUUAUAGCUUUGAAGGUACCGUCAUCCAUUUUGCAAAUUAUUGUCCCUUGCCUAGUUGAUGCACUUAUUACUUGUGGAGCUUUCUUCGCAGCCAUGAACACAGAAUAGCGUAGGGUGGUCAAAUCUUCAUUUAUAAAAAGUCCUUUGUAGCGAUCCUUUCCCUUGAGCUUGAACCGAGCAUCAAAAAGUUUGUCACUCUUCUACCUAGUUACAAACCUGACGAUGGCUUGCCUGGGUUUUCUGUCUGUGUGCAGCCCACCCAGUCGAUAGCACAUUGAGAUGUCAUCUGGCUUUAUCUCCACACCAACAUCUUUGGCCAUGCCACAUACCUUUUCAAUGAGGCCAUCUGUCUCCUCACUAUCUGAGAGGCCGAGCAAUCGCAAGUUUUCUUUCUUCAUUUCUUGCUGCAAUUCAUCCCGUUUAAACUACAUGUGCAGCAGAGAGGGAUUGAUGAUGUCCCUUAAACUUGUCACGCAAGCAUCACGAACAGCCUGCACUAUUGUUGGUAGUGCGGCUUUAAGAGCUGCAUGCCUCCAGUGCAGUUUUAACUAUGUUGGAGAUGUCAUCAUGGUUACCUCCUGCCCCCAUCUGCUCAUCGUCUAGCUGAUCCAUGAUUUCCUCAAGGUUUAUGUAAACACCGUGGUCUGGUAACCUCUCUUUUUACCCCCUUAUCAAUCUUAGGUGAUGGAAUGCGACCUUGCUGAGCUUGCUGAUGGGAUUUCCCUGAUGGACUCUUUCCACUUCUAGUUGUAUGGCACAUGCUCAAUGAACAGUGUAUUGAAGAUGAAAAUUGAAAGAUGAAAAUCGACAAAUGCACAAGUUCUUUUGAUCCAAACAAAAUGUUGAUGAUCUAGUAUGUUCCUGAGCUUAAAGUUAUUACUAUGCAAGCAUAACAAUACCUCUAACAGUGUUAAAACAUGAAGAAUUUGGAGUUUACAUGUGAAGCAUGCCUAUCACAGUCACACCAUCUUUAUUUUACAUCUUAAGUUAUAUCCAGAACAACAUCCAUAGUUUCUAACAUAGUUCCUGCCUUUUUGAUGCACCCACCUUCUGGAUUACCUACGUAGUAUCUUUCGUAAUUUGAAGGCAAAGAUGUUGACAGAAUUCUCCUACAGUAUCUGAUCAUCCCUUUUCAGUUGUAGAGGAACCACUGUUGACUGUUGUGCGUUACAAGCUAUCAGCUGUUCUCUCUGGAGUAGAAAAACCAUUGAUUAAAUUUCCUCUGACUUGAUGAGCCAUCAAAUUCAUGCUUGCAAAUUAACUUGCACUGCACAUGCUCGUUAUCCUCUAGACCCUUCACUAAUGUUUGGUAUUGUCCUUUUUUUAUCCGUGAUGAUUAUUAAUGCUGUAUGGUCAAGAUGAUUUGGAGAGGAAUCAAUCUAGGCAAUGUUUGCAGGAUGAUGGCAUUUUUUCUCUUUGCUGACAAUCUAACGUUCUGAUGAUGAUCAUUUCAACGUGUUUGUUUCUACAAUGCAUGAUAAAUCUUCAUCUGGGGUGUAUCUUUUAGGCAUCUUCUCUUGUCUUUUGGCAAGUUUCCUGAUCUUGACAGGUCGAGAUGGGGAAAUCAUAGCAAAUUUCAGAUCAUAUUUCAGAGCUGGGUUCUUUUUCGUAGACUCCUUGUGAUGCAGCAAACGUUAGUUCUUACAGUUCAAUGUGACUCAACAGUUUUCAUACCUGCCUUUGGUUAGAUCUUGUGGAUAACUCUUCCCAGUCUUUAGUUGGUCGAGCCCCAGUAGUGUGUUUGGACGCACAUUUGAAUCAACUCUUGAUGAUAUUGCUAUUAUGCCAUUGUUUUUACUUCUUGAGUAAUGUUACAUGUUUGCGAUGGCUUUUCUCUCCACUUAUCCAGGCAUUUGAACAAAAUAUCCUUCAUGGAUUCAGACAUCUUAGAGAGUAAAUCUUCAGGUAGGAUAGAUUUAUCAAAAUCAUGAUACAUUUGGUAUACCCGUAAUACACAUGAUACUAAUUUGGAAGGAUUUUAUGAUAGACUUUGUGAAUAUGUAUGAUAUGGAUGGAAAAUCUGAUUUCUUUGGAAAGUGCAAGUGGCUGCAGCUAAAUUUGGUAUCAGUGUAGCAUGAAGUAUUACAUAGACCAUCAUGGUAAUUUGAGCACAACAAUCAACAGAAUGUCGUGUAAAAAGUGCUUGUGAAAAAAGACUUAGAACCCCCAUUAUCAUGUGGUUUUGUGCAAAAUUACUUCUCGAGAGGUAAUUUUUUUUUCUUUAAUCUCUGUAAUCACAUAGAAUUAAAAAUUACACAUGAUGUAUCCUUAAUGAGUCAUUUUCUUGUAAUAUUGAAAAAGUGUGUUACUUAUGAUCAAUUUCAUAGGGAUAUAUUGCUUGGGAUAUUCUACGGGUUCUUAUCUUUGCUUAGAACAUUAAUAAAACAAAAUUUGUUGCAUAACCCAAAACCAAUUCUGGUGCACUUUGCUCACCCCUGUCCCUCUGUGCACGGUCAGACUACAGUUUCUAUGCUGAUAAGCAUUUUAAGCAAAUGUGUGGGAUUCAUCCAAAUCCUCUUGUGGCUAAAUGAAUUGUAACACUUUCUGAUACUAAGAAUUCAAUCACUUUAUCUUCAAGUCAAAGUAAAUAUUGCACUAUUGUUAGGAGUAUACUGUUACUCUUAUGAUAUAUUGGUCAUUUAUUUUGUUACAAACUAGUUUGAUAAAUUAGUGAGUUUAAGGACUAAAAUGCCUUAGAGCAGAUUUUAUACAUCUUUUUCAUGUUUCACUACAAGGAAAGGAAAACUUAUAUUUGCACCAAAUCAGGGAAAUGUGUUGUGGAGCAAACCAAUAAUGCUCAUGAGACUUGGUUCACACGUAGGUCUUGGAGUGAAGAGUGCAAGACAUGUUAUUUGAGUGUGUCAGAAAAUAUGUUGCCAUGGUAAUGGCAUAUGAUGUCCCGCCAUUUCUUUGCAUAAGGCCAUUAAUUACAUGUACCUUCAUGAUAUUUUUAGCUCUUACCAAGAAGUUUAGCUGUAAAUUUUAGAAUUCCUCUGCCAAGUUGUCGCACGAAUAACUCCUUAGCCCAUAUUUUGAAGUCAGGUUUAACUUAAACUCAGGUUUAAAAUUGUGGUUUAAGUAUGGAUAGCCAAGUUGCACAUAAUCAAUAAUGGUAGAGAUAUUAUUUUUCAGAUUGUUUGGCUCUCAAAUCAUUCAUAAUUGUCUAGGAAGUAUAAAUAGGUGAUUGUGUUCACCAUUGAUGAAUGAAUCAGGAAAGAGCACAGUAAACAUAAGAAACAUACAACUUGGUAAAAAUUUUGACACUUUUGGCUUCCCAUAAUUUAAGCACAGAGUUAGACCAUGUUCUAUGUUUAACCUGACUUCAGAAUACGGGCCAUUAUGUUAAAAAGUUAUACUGUACCAUUUGAUUUGAAAGGAAUUUAUUUUUUUGUUCUGAACUAUGUAUAAAAUGUAUUACUUUGAUGUUCUCAAUAUCAUAAUCAUGUUUGUGAUAAACUAUUGGUCAACUGAGUUAUUAAAUUUGAAAUAAUCAGUAGAUGCAUGCCAUAUUAGCAUGCUAUGGCAUCUUAAGGUUGCUUGACAAGAGACAAAAAUCCUUCAUGAACUGAAUGGUUCAAAUACGAAUAAAGUAUUAUUAUCUUCUUUUAAUUAUGUGAGUGUAGGUUACACACAGUUGCGAUGAAACUUGAUGAAUAAAUUUCAUUUGAUAUAUAGUUCGUUUAACUGGGGCCGUACGAGCUUGAUAAGUCUACUAAGCAGAGAUAUUGUCUGUUCAUGCUACAUGUAGUUCAGUCAUUCGAAUACAUGUUGGUUAUUCACAAAUUUCUUCUACCACUUUUUUGGAUGUUUAUAUAUUCAAGCUCAGUAAUAUACAAGAUUUUUGUUCCUAAAGGCUUGGCAUGGGCCUAUUCAACAACUUUGGGCACUCAUAUCUUGCUAUAGCUAUUACAUAUUGUCCUUAGAGCCUUCCUGCUAUGGCUGUAGUUGACAUUGAAGAAAUGUUGUUCACAACUAUAAAGCUUAUUGGUAACAUAAGUUUUAAAAGGUUAUCAGUGAUCAUGAACACCUGUGAUAUACUAGUACAUUGUAAAUUUAUUCUCCAUGUUACUGGAGAUACAGUUUAUAGGUCAGUUUGAAUGACCAUAUUGAAUAAAUAAUCUAAAUUAUGAGCCUUU